rnacentral:misc_RNA from 1 species
GUUUGUGGAGGGUAAUUGUCUAGAAUGAAGUCGAUUUCUUCUCCGCUUAUUUCCUCCUGGCUGAUGAGAACCUUUACGGCUUUAAGCAACGCUGCAUGGUGCCUCUGGAGCAUAGCCAAUGUCCUAUCAUACAUGUCACGUACCAGCUCUUCAGUUCUCCAAGCAACUUCGUCAUCUAAUUUUAAAUUCAGUGGUGGUUCGGUUAGAUCGUAGUCAUCAUAAAGAGAGCCUUCAAAAUCCAACCUAGGACCAACAAACUUCACUUUCU